UAGAUUUAUUAAGAUUGCUUCCCUUUUAAUAGAAUAGAUUUAACAUCUAAAAGUAAAAACGCUAACCUAGGGAUUUAGGGCACACCCGUUCUUUCCUAAAUUUUACUUUAACCGGGUUGGCAAGUCUAAACCGUCGCUUAACCGGUUUUCUUAUCUUAGCCUAUAAUAAUAAUAACGCUCCUCCACUCAAACGAACUCUAUUAGGGUAAAGCCGUACGCCGUUUACAUUGUUACUCACGAAACAGAGCUCUGGAUCCAUCUCAAUCAGCUCGAGCAAGAAUCGAUCCAUUGAGACUGCGAAGAAAGCAACUUCAUAAUCUGAAAAGGUGGGAUGGAAACGGAUCUCAGGGUAUUUGGAUCCGAUUAAGUAUAUAACAAAAUGUUUUUGCAGAUAUUAUUUACUCUCUCUCUCUCUUGAUUUAUCUUUUCUUGAGAAGUUGCUGAAGAUUGUUUUAUGAGAGUAUUAUAAGUCACUGCAUUUGGUAAUCAAGUGUUGCUUUCCCAAACGAAGUGACUUAUAAUGAUCUCAUGAAUCGAUUUUUGCAAAGUCUUAAGAGAGUAAAGGACUAUGAUGUCCUGAGUGAAAAUGGAUUUAUCUUUUUUUGUCUUAUAAUGUGCCAGGUCUCUUAGUGUGUUACUGUCCACUCUUUCUUUUUGUUUGGGUGAUAACAAGAUAAAUCCCAAGCAUCAUCCACCUUAUUAGCUUUGACAUGAAUGAAGGCUUGUAAAAUGGAUGAUUCUUGGGAUUUAUCUUUUUGUAGCCUCCUCUUCUAAAAGAGUGUGGGAUUUUUCUUUUUGUAGUCCCCUCUCCUAAAAGAGUGUUGUUUAAUUUUACAACAUACACGGAAAUGAUUUCAGGCUUGUGGAGGAACAUGAUGCUUCUUUUGUAAGCCAGAAACUUGAUGUUUUGCUAAAGAAAUGUUAACCGUUUGCAUGUGUUAUAUAACUGAGUGUUUACUCCCACUUUAUGUAUAAAUGGAACAAGGUUGCUUUCCCCCAUCAAAUUAAAGACCAAGUGAUCAAGAUUUUAUCUUUUUGUUUCUUAGUUUGAACUUUUCUAUGUUCUCGUAGUGUAUUGGUCAAUGUGAAAUAAAAUAGAUAACAAUGUUGUGCCAAACAAAACUAAGUUGAUAGGUACGGUUUUGUGUAAUUAAUGGACAGCAUCUUCGUGUUAGCUCUUUUUCAAAAAUUUAACGAAAAGAUUGGUAAUAUUUAUGCAUGUAUGAAUCUCGAGGUCGAUAGAUUUUGAGGUGGAACAAGGGAUAUGUCCAUACCUUCUGGAACCAGCAGACAUACAUGCAAUCACAUACCUUGCCUUUCUUAAGUUUCUUUUCAAGUAUUUAUCUCUCUCUCCCACCGUGCAGGCGUGCAUGCAGGACGGAUCUAGAAAUUUAAUUAGACUGUGGCACGAAAAUAUUUUCCCAUCGGUACCUAAUAAAAAUUAUAUUAGUAUUCUAAAACAUGAUAAACAAUGAGAAGAAGUGACUAAACUAAAGAAACAAAUAUAUAGCAAAAUUGAAUUAGCAAAAAGAAAAAUAUAUAGCAAAUUAUUACAUAGCGAUAUAUAUAUUUACUUAGCAAAGAUGUCGAAACAGGUUUUAUGGAAUCGUCUUCUACACCAAACAACAAAUUAUUGCGAGAAGAAAGUAUAUAAAUAAUUUUUUUCUAUUUUUUUUUAAAGGAGCCACAGUACGGAACACAUUUUGAGUCUGAUAGUUAUUGUAGGUUAUAAUUAGAUUAUUGUAUCUUAAGUGGGCUAUGUUUUUAAUCUUACUGUUAAUUAUGCUACAAUAUUUACUCAUAUUUUUAACUGGGUAGUAUUUUAGUUUUGGGAAUUUGCGGUCCAUAACUAUAGAUAAAAAUUUUAUUAGGCAAAUGGAUAUGCAAUUGUACUUUUUUAUUAAUACCAAUAAAAACCCUACUCAACCCCACAAACCUGUGUGCAUAGAUUGACAAUCUGACCUAAUUUUAACUGUUUCUCUUCUCUCUUCGUAGAGCUAAGUCUAUACUUCACUCUCUCUCUCUCUCUCUCUCUCUAUUCUUCUUGUUUGGUUGAAGAAAGUCCUAUUUUUUUUCUAAAUCAAGAACUGUUUUUUCUUGACAAAAAAUUUCAGACAAGGCUUAAAACCCUAAUUCUUUCAAUCGGCCCUGAAACUUUUUCAAUUUUUUUGGUAAUAAUCCAAUCUCUCUCUCUUGUUUUUGAUUUAUUUUGUUGAUCCCUCUUUUAGAGAUCGGGAGAAUCUCUGCAAUAAUCUCGUGUUGCAGUACAAUCCGCCCAGUUGAUCUUGAUCUCGUGUGCACUAUGGCUCUCUCCUUUGGCACUUUUAUCAUUGGACAUAGAAAAGCAGAUUUUGGUGGUACAGUACUGGUUGGCCUCGAAAAUUAAUAAUUGACUGUGCUUGUGCUGAGAAGAUGAACAGAAGUUGCGUCUUUCUAGCAGCUCAGUCUCUGUGUCUCUUUGCAACGCGUGUGAGAUCAGAAACAGGAAGAUACGAGGAUGAGAAGAUCAGAAGCCUCGAAGAAAUCAGAUCAUGGGGGCGCCGGAACGGCCGGCGAUCUUAGAAGUAAUCCUAAAUUUUGUAAUUCAAAAUAUAGAAUGAUGGAUUUGGGGAUGGGGAAGCGAUUGGAGAAGCAGCAACCCAAAGCUUGGCAAAGAAGUAGCCGGUAGCAGGUAAAAUAGAGAUGGAUUCCGUCGAUUGCAACAAGGUUAAUAUGGACUUUCCAUGCAGUUGUUUAUCCUGAUUUGCCAAUUAAUAAAAAAAAAGUCCACUUACCUAAUUUUUAUUUUUGUUUUGGUUAUUCACCCAAAUGAACCUUUAGUUUUAGUUGGGUGGGACACUUCUAUUUUUUCCUUUUUUCAUAUACAGAUUUUUCUUUUUUGAUUACUAAAGGAAAAAACAAUUAAAAAGCAUGGGCCCGUGCCACACUUUCUAUACAGGUGGGUCUCCCCUGCGUGCAUGUGUAUUAUGCAUCUAUAAAAUAGAGAAGAAGCUGAACAUAAUUGUCAUCUUUAUAGGUUUGGAAGACUGGAAAUGUUGUUGUGUCUUCUUGCUUCAUUUAAAUACAGUUUUAUACCUCUCUCAUUCUCUUCUGUCUUUUCCUUACUACUUCCAUGUUUGGCUUUUAUCACUGUUGCAGCUGUUAUGAAGUGUAACGUCUUGGAAGGUUCCAAUGAUAAAAAAAGGCAUUAUUCUCAAUGCAAUAAACUUUGUUUUCAAUUACUA